GAUGACCGCUGGCGGCGUGCUUAACACCUGCAAGUCGAACGGUUAAGCAGAGCUUGCUCUGUGGUUCAGUGGCUAACGGCUGAGUAACACGUGAGCAACCUGCCCCUGACUCUGGGCUACGCCCUGGCACCGGCGUCUAGUACUUCCUAUGCGCUGCGACCGCCUGGUCAACAGUUUGAACGAUUAUUCGGUCUGGGAUAGACUCACGGCCUAUCAGCUUGUUGGUUAGGUCAUGGCUCACCAAGGCUUCGAUGGGUAGCCGGCCUGAGAGGGUGACCGGCCACACGGGGACUGAGACACGGCCCAGACUCCUACGGGAGGCAGCAGUGGGGAAUAUUGCACAAUGGGCGAAAGCCUGAUGCAGCAACGCCGCGUAAGGGAUGACGGCCUUCGGGUUGUAAACCUCUUGUAGCAGGGAAGAAGCGAAAGUGACGGUACCUGCAGAAAAAGCGCCGGCUAACUACGUG
rnacentral:rRNA from 1 species